rnacentral:rRNA from 1 species
AUUGAACGCUGGCGGCAGGCCUAACACAUGCAAGUCGAACGAGUGGCGGACGGGUGAGUAAUGUCUGGGAAACUGCCUGAUGGAGGGGGAUAACUACUGGAAACGGUAGCUAAUACCGCAUACCAUCGGAUGUGCCCAGAUGGGAUUAGCUAGUAGGUGGGGUAAAGGCUCACCUAGGCGACGAUCCCUAGCUGGUCUGAGAGGAUUACCAGCCACACUGGAACUUAGACACGGUCCAGACUCCUACUGGUGGCAGCAGUGGGGAAUAUUGAACAAUGGGCGCAAGCCUGAUGCAGCCAUGCCGCGUGUAUGAAGAAGGUCUGCGGGUUGUAAAGUACUGUCAGCGGGGAGGCCUUACCCCAAGAAGAAGCACCGGCUAACUCCGUGCCAGCAGCCGCGGUAAUUC